rnacentral:rRNA from 1 species
ACUUAAAUUGAAGAGUUUGAUCAUGGCUCAGAUUGAACGCUGGCGGCAGGCCUAACACAUGCAAGUCGAGCGGUAGCACAGAGAGCUUGCUCUCGGGUGACGAGCGGCGGACGGGUGAGUAAUGUCUGGGAAACUGCCUGAUGGAGGGGGAUAACUACUGGAAACGGUAGCUAAUACCGCAUAAUGUCGCAAGACCAAAGUGGGGGACCUUCGGGCCUCAUGCCAUCAGAUGUGCCCAGAUGGGAUUAGCUGGUAGGUGGGGUAACGGCUCACCUAGGCGACGAUCCCUAGCUGGUCUGAGAGGAUGACCAGCCACACUGGAACUGAGACACGGUCCAGACUCCUACGGGAGGCAGCAGUGGGGAAUAUUGCACAAUGGGCGCAAGCCUGAUGCAGCCAUGCCGCGUGUGUGAAGAAGGCCUUCGGGUUGUAAAGCACUUUCAGCGGGGAGGAAGGCGGUGAGGUUAAUAACCUCACCGAUUGACGUUACCCGCAGAAGAAGCACCGGCUAACUCCGUGCCAGCAGCCGCGGUAAUACGGAGGGUGCAAGCGUUAAUCGGAAUUACUGGGCGUAAAGCGCACGCAGGCGGUCUGUCAAGUCGGAUGUGAAAUCCCCGGGCUCAACCUGGGAACUGCAUUCGAAACUGGCAGGCUAGAGUCUUGUAGAGGGGGGUAGAAUUCCAGGUGUAGCGGUGAAAUGCGUAGAGAUCUGGAGGAAUACCGGUGGCGAAGGCGGCCCCCUGGACAAAGACUGACGCUCAGGUGCGAAAGCGUGGGGAGCAAACAGGAUUAGAUACCCUGGUAGUCCACGCUGUAAACGAUGUCGAUUUGGAGGUUGUGCCCUUGAGGCGUGGCUUCCGGAGCUAACGCGUUAAAUCGACCGCCUGGGGAGUACGGCCGCAAGGUUAAAACUCAAAUGAAUUGACGGGGGCCCGCACAAGCGGUGGAGCAUGUGGUUUAAUUCGAUGCAACGCGAAGAACCUUACCUGGUCUUGACAUCCACAGAACUUUCCAGAGAUGGAUUGGUGCCUUCGGGAACUGUGAGACAGGUGCUGCAUGGCUGUCGUCAGCUCGUGUUGUGAAAUGUUGGGUUAAGUCCCGCAACGAGCGCAACCCUUAUCCUUUGUUGCCAGCGGUCCGGCCGGGAACUCAAAGGAGACUGCCAGUGAUAAACUGGAGGAAGGUGGGGAUGACGUCAAGUCAUCAUGGCCCUUACGACCAGGGCUACACACGUGCUACAAUGGCAUAUACAAAGAGAAGCGACCUCGCGAGAGCAAGCGGACCUCAUAAAGUAUGUCGUAGUCCGGAUUGGAGUCUGCAACUCGACUCCAUGAAGUCGGAAUCGCUAGUAAUCGUAGAUCAGAAUGCUACGGUGAAUACGUUCCCGGGCCUUGUACACACCGCCCGUCACACCAUGGGAGUGGGUUGCAAAAGAAGUAGGUAGCUUAACCUUCGGGAGGGCGCUUACCACUUUGUGAUUCAUGACUGGGGUGAAGUCGUAACAAGGUAACCGUAGGGGAACCUGCGGUUGGAUCACCUCCUUACCUUAAAGAA